GGAAGAAAAAAAGUAGUCGUGAACCUGCCCCGGGGCUGGGAGGUUGUGUGUGCGUUUGCCCGCGGGACAACUAGUUGGUGGAACGUAAUGUGGAGUCGCCGGGAAUUUUGGUUUUGGUUUGAUUUACCCUGAAUGUGAGGCUUGUUUUCGAACGGUAAGCGGUAAACUGGUGAAGGUUUACCAAGAAGCCUACAUCGCGGAAGAAUUUACGCGCCUGUGUUACAAGUGUUUGCUGCUUCGCUGAUAUAUUCCGCUACAACUAGUGCUACCAGAACGUCAACUUUAAGCAGCGGCCAAGGUCAAAUGCCCGCUCACCUGUAUGAGGUAUUGCGCCUAUCGGCUUUAAGGGCGGUGGAGAAAUGCGGCAGGCAUCGCGGCUAAUAAAAUUGUGAAGUCGCAAUUUUUGCCCUCGAUCCCGGCCGCAAAUCAAGACACCGCAACGUGGCGAAUCCCUCACUUGACUCGUUCCGGACGUGGCUGGGGCGCGCUCCGAACGGGGUCGUCACUGUUCGGGUGAGAACCGGCUGAAGGUAGCGUCGGUACGACGUCACUUUUACACCUCUAGUGAACAGGCGUGAGAGCGGCCUUUGCAUCGGAACGGGCGCAUGCCAAUCAUCAGCUGUCAUGCCCGUGUUCCAGAAAAUGCAGUGUUCAGUGAAGAGAAUAUAAUGUUUUUAUCUAUAACUGACUGGUCUCAAGCAAGUUAUGAGCUGUUCUUCCAUUGGUAGGACAAGUAGUUUUGUACUACUAGGGGCAAGAUAAUAUGGUGAAUAGUGAUAAACACAAAAUGCAAUGAAAUAAAAACAAUACGUAAUUGAUACCACACAAAUGUAGGCAAAAUUUCAUCCAGAUCUGUUCAGCCGUUCUGGCGUGAUUGAGUAACAAACAUCCAUCCAUCCAAACUUUCACAUUUAUAAUAUUAGUGGGAUUGUGAUAAAAUUUAAAUUUGACAUUGUCCAAUGUUAAUUUGUUAGCUCCAAUAACAAAGUUACUUUUUUUUCCAUAAAUGAAAUGUUAUAUGUAAUAACUUGAGUUAUUUUAUAUAUUAAUGCACAUUACUAGCGACAUAUGUACAAUAUUCAUAAAAAUCGAAAUAACAAAGACAAAUAACUAUAAAUAUGAAGCCAUAAUUUCUUGCCUCUAUAUUACUGAUGAAACUGAAUAAUAUACACGUGUGUAUGUUUGUAAGUAGCAAUGGCCAGGCCUAUAACUGACUUAAUGUUGCAUGUGACAAGCUGAAACGUGUGAUAGUGUUAACCUAUGUUCUGGCUGUUUUUUAAGCCCAAGUCUUACACGUCAACUUCAUUAUUUCAUGUUGUCAUUCUUGUUAAUUAAUUCAGAUCUUUUGCAUUUCUUGAUGGGCUACAAAUUUUCUCACCAGAUACUCUAAAGAAAUUUUUUUCUAACCGUAAAAUGUCAUGCUAUUUAACACACUAAAACCCUGUUACAAAUCUUUUCAAGGGGGUACAAGUUAAAAACAUAAGUAGGGAAUAAGUACAUACAUCUGAUAAAACACUGAAAUGGCAAGGAACUCUUUUUUUCCCCUCCCCCCAAGAAAGGGUGCCAACACACGUAACUGAGAAUGUUUUGUACUGUUGAUAUAUUGAAUACACUGCAUUUGCCAGCAUUUAUGUGUAGCUCUGGUAUUCUGGCAUACAUACAUUUUAUUUUUGUAUACUACUGUAAUUAAAAAAUCUCUAUAUGAAAAUGGUGGUUGUAAACAAAAAAAUGUGUAAAGUAAACCUUUUAACAUGUUAAACUUGCCUGUAGGAAUAGUUAGGUUUUUUAAAACUUUUUGUGUUUGAAUUUGUUGUAUUUUGGAAAGUAAUCAAGCAGGAAAUGAACCAUUUGGCUACACUUGUGAAAUGUAAUGAAUACAUUGUCCUCGUGGGAAAAAUGUCAGGGACUUAAAUAAUAUGGUGGAAGAAGGAAAAAAAGCAGGAAUAUUGUAACAGGGUGCUACUGUAAUUAUACACUUGUCAUGUUUUACAGCUUUGUGAUAUCAUGUGAUUUUACUGAUAAAGCAGUUUCCAAGGACAUUAAGUUGGAACUCCUAACAAAUUUUUACUUAAUGUGCAAAACUUUCACAUGUUAAUUGAUAAUAUAAAAAAAAUAUGUGAAAGUUUUGAGCUUGAAGUAAAAAUUUGUUAGGAGUUCCAACUUAAUUUCCUUGGAAAACUGGUUAAUGCUAACAAAUGUUUAAGCUUUUCUCAAGCAAGAUGCGAAGUGUUAAUUACUGCCAAUAAUGAAAAAUGAUUUUGUAUUUUGUUGGUGCAAAUAAACUCAUUAUAAAUUGGA